rnacentral:snRNA from 1 species
AGCUUUGUGCAUUGGCAGUAUCAUAGCCAAUGAGGUUUAUCUGAGGUACGAUUAUUGCCAAAUGAAAAUGAUUCUCAAGUUCCA